GACGAACGCUGGCGGCGUGCCUAACACAUGCAAGUCGAGCGAGUGAAUCUCCUUCGGGAGUGAAGCUAGCGGCGGACGGGUGAGUAACACGUGGGCAACCUGCCUCAUAGAGGGGAAUAGCCUUCCGAAAGGAAGAUUAAUACCGCAUAAGAUUGUAGCUUCGCAUGAAGUAGCAAUUAAAGGAGCAAUCCGCUAGGAGAUGGGCCCGGGGCGCAUUAGCUAGUUGGUGAGGUAACGGCUCACCAAGGCGACGAUGCGUAGCCGACCUGAGAGGGUGAUCGGCCACAUUGGGACUGAGACACGGCCCAGACUCCUACGGGAGGCAGCAGUGGGGAAUAUUGCACAAUGGGGGAAACCCUGAUGCAGCAACGCCGCGUGAGUGAUGACGGCCUUCGGGUUGUAAAGCUCUGUCUUCAGGGACGAUAAUGACGGUACCUGAGGAGGAAGCCACGGCUAACUACGUGCCAGCCGCCGCGGUAACAC
rnacentral:rRNA from 1 species